rnacentral:lncRNA from 1 species
CUCCUUGAACUAUUCAUCACUGUUUCCAGGAAAAGAAAUCGGGCCCGGCCUGAUGGUGCAACUGCUAUAAGGGGACAAAGAAAAGAAAACC